CGCUUGUGUGCCAGACAGUAAGGCAGAAUGGGUCUGUAUCGUAUCGGUACUACAAGAUAUGUACCGAGGUAGUUUAGGUGUUUAGUAUUAUGUUUAUAUUUUUAUAUGAGGUAUGUUUAGUGUUUGGGUUAGGAUUAGGGUUAGGGUUAGG